UACGUAGGGCGCAAGCGUUGUCCGGAAUUAUUGGGCGUAAAGAGCUCGUAGGCGGCUUGUCACGUCGGGUGUGAAAGCCCGGGGCUUAACCCCGGGUCUGCAUUCGAUACGGGCUAGCUAGAGUGUGGUAGGGGAGAGUGGAAUUCCUGGUGUAGCGGUGAAAUGCGCAGAUAUCAGGAAGAACACCCGUGGCUAAGGCGGCUCUCUAGUACGGUACUGACGCUGAGACGCGAAAGCGUGGGGAGCAAACAGG
rnacentral:rRNA from 1 species